GAUGAACGCUGGCGGCGUGCCUAAUACAUGCAAGUAGAACGCUGAAGGAGGGAGCUUGCUUCUUCUGGAUGAGUUGCGAACGGGUGAGUAACGCGUAGGUAACCUGCCUGAUAGCGGGGGAUAACUAUUGGAAACGAUAGCUAAUACCGCAUAAGAGGUAAUAACACAUGUUAUUGGUUUAAAAGGGGCAACUGCUCCACUAUCAGAUGGACCUGCGUUGUAUUAGCUAGUUGGUAAGGUAACGGCUUACCAAGGCGACGAUACAUAGCCGACCUGAGAGGGUGAUCGGCCACACUGGGACUGAGACACGGCCCAGACUCCUACGGGAGGCAGCAGUAGGGAAUCUUCGGCAAUGGGGGCAACCCUGACCGAGCAACGCCGCGUGAGUGAAGAAGGUUUUCGGAUCGUAAAGCUCUGUUGUAAGAGAAGAACGGAUGUGGGAGUGGGAAAAUCC
rnacentral:rRNA from 1 species